ACGCUAGCGGCAGGCCUAACACAUGCAAGUCGAGGGGUAACAGGGAGCUUGCUCUGCUGACGACCGGCGCACGGGUGCGUAACGCGUAUACAAUCUGCCUAUCACUAGGGGAUAGCCCGAAGAAAUUUGGAUUAACACCCUAUAGUACUAGCUACUCGCAUGAGUUACUAGUUAAAGGUUACGGUGAUAGAUGAGUAUGCGUCCUAUUAGCUAGUUGGUAAGGUAACGGCUUACCAAGGCUACGAUAGGUAGGGGUCCUGAGAGGGAGAUCCCCCACACUGGUACUGAGACACGGACCAGACUCCUACGGGAGGCAGCAGUGAGGAAUAUUGGACAAUGGAGGAGACUCUGAUCCAGCCAUGCCGCGUGCAGGAAGACGGCCGUAUGGGUUGUAAACUGCUUUUAUACAGGAAGAAACCUCUCCACGUGUGGAGAGUUGACGGUACUGUAAGAAUAAGC
rnacentral:rRNA from 1 species